rnacentral:lncRNA from 1 species
AAUCAUCCAAAAAUGCUUUAGUACAUAAAACUAGAGUUAUAAUCAAAAAAUAAAUAUUAAUACACCAAAUCCAUCAAACCCUAAUGGUAACUACUCUAUAGACAUGGAGUAAUUUAUCACAAUUAUAAUUAAAGUAAAGGAAAACAUAAAUCUCUUGUCUUGAGUGACGAAGGAAUGAUGAAAUCCUCGUGCUUUCGCUCCUCCAACUCUUCCUUAGCCUCCUUAGGUCGAUUGUGUGUUAAACGUCCCAAAAAUAACGUUUUUACAUGUAUUUAUACCAAGUAGGGUCGGGACCAAAUGAAAAUGCCUUUUUCUAGCCGAAAUUGGAUUGUAGCUCUGUAAAAAUUGUAUAGGCGCGCCACGCGCCAGUCCACACGCGACGCUAGUGUUAAUUUCUCAGAGUCCGGCUUUUCUUUUCUUUUUGAUAUCCAGAUGUAGUUCUCAAGCCCCGAACGCGAUCCCGACUUAAUGCCUUAGGCUUUUACUCAGACUUCAAAGCUCCAAAUCACUCGAAUUAGAUCCAUAACAUCUAUGUCACUCGAAAUCACUCCUAUAAGGAAUAAAAUACGAAAUAAGUACAAAACACUAGCAAUGAAAGCACAAAAAUAGUUUAAAGUGCAGUACAUUCGAGUGCAACAAGCGACUAAAAUAAGUAAUUAUAGCCUGCCAUCAAGUGUCCUAAAACUACCCGGACAGAAGCAUGAUUUUUAGCUACACGUGGACUCUCGUCACUUCGUGCUACGUAGCACCCACAAUUAGUAGCAAAUAGUAAUUUAAAUACAUGCAGGGUAAAUUCCCUCUUACAUGGUUAGGCAAAAGACUUACCUCAUUCCCAAGUUCACUUUCCGGUCCACAAGCCACCCUAAAGCCUCAAGUCGAUGCCGAACAAUCCUAAACUAGUCAAAUAUUGUAUAAAUCAAUCAAUUAUACUCAAAAGUUCAUAAUUUAGCUAUUAGGGUAACUACCAAAUCCAAAUUGGAAGAUUUCUAAAAUUCACCGCCAAGCUCACGUGCUCGGAUUUCGGAAAUUUUCAAAGAUAAACAUUACCUAUUACACCAAGAACCCAAAUAUAUAUUUUCUAAUUAAUUCUAUAAUCCUUUUCGUGGUCUCAUCUUAUUUUUAUCAAAAAUCUAAAAUUUUCCAUUAAACCUAUAAUUUCCACAAUUUAUAUGUUAAAUAUACCCAAAAUCCAUGUAUUAAACUCACAUUAAGUAGUAAUAACUUACCUUACGAUGAUAGGUAAAAAUCCCUCUACAACAGCUCCAAAAUCAACCUCCUAAAGUUAAAAUAAGAGAAAAUAGCCUAAGUCCCAAUAUAAAUGCAACCUUCUGCCCCUCAGUGAUUUUCGCUUCUGCGGAAAAUUCGUAGCUUCUGAAACUCCACAUAUGCUAAAAUUACAUCGCAUAUGUGGUCCUCCUCCAGCUGGCCUCCUUCUGCUUCUACGAAGCCUUCUUCGCAUCUGCGGGCUCACAGAUAUGGUCGAGCCCUCGCAUCUGUGUCGCGCUCCAUUUUCUCCUCGCGGGUCUGGGUUUCGACAUUCAUUGGGAACAACUCAUUUCCUUUUGGGAAUUGGGUAUUUGAAUUUUGAAGAGUCGUCAUCUAACGGAUUUAAGGUGCGUUACGGCACCUAAAACAAGUAACUCAUAAGACCGAUUUGCAUUACCAGAGAUUGAGUAAGGGCUCGAAAUAACCUUGAGGAAAAGGUGUUAGGAACCCCUCGCGGUUUACAACGGUGGGUCCCGGUCGAACUCAAAUUAUAUCAAUUAGUCUUAUAAACAAAUAAAGCAAAAUUAGACAGAUUGGUGUUACAUUUAAAACAAGAAGUAAAAGGGGUCCUAGGUUCUUUAGCCUACAGGAUCACAUCUGUAAAAUACCCGAUAAACUUUCCUCAACUAGAGGGGUUACACGUGGCAUUAGCACAUAGGUAAUCAUAUCCUCUUACUACCCAAGUACCCUCCCUUGGUGGUUAUAUAAUAGCUUUUAAUUAAAUAAACUCUAUGCAUGCAUUACCCGUCCUUUCCUUAUGGUCCUAUAGGUGUUUAAGAGCUCUAAUUUAGGCAUUUCUAGACAUUCCUAAAGUACUUAAAGGAGAAAAAUCUAGGCGACAAGCAAGAACAAAUAGGACUGUCAAGUAAAGAACAAUUAAAGGGGGGCUCACAUUUACCUCCAAAAAUAAGCAGAUAAUGGCACGUCUCACACAACAAGAUUUCAGAUAUUUCAAAGGAUCCCAGGUGUCACGCCCCAAACCUGGGGAGGCGUGACUGGUACCUGGUGCCGCACUGGCCCGAGUGAACCACUCUGCAAUUUUUUUUCUUUGUAACUAUCAUGGGCCAACAUGGCCACAACUCGUAAUGUACAACUGUAAGUGGGCAACACUGUAUCAAUAAACUAUCGUUCUUAAAACAUGAAUACAUAUGGGCCCGUAAGGCCUUUGACAUACUGUACAAAUGAACCUUUGUGUACAAAGCCUCCAAGAUUAUUAGACAUCAAACAGGACAUGGCACCGACUUACCCAUACGUUUGUAGCAAAACUCUGACACGAUAACUCAUACAUUCGGCUGCACUCCGAAUGAGGUGGAGUCUUACUGACCCUUUGCUGAAUGCCAAUCUUGUCUACUAUGAGGGCUCGUCAACUGGUUAUCUAUACCUGCAGGCAUGAAUUCAGUAUCCCCAACAAAAAGACGUCAGUAUGAAUAAUGUACUGAGUAUGUAAGGCAGAAAUGAAACAUAAUAAUAAGUCAAUAUUAAUUAAAUAAUAUAAGGAUCAACCUGUAUCUCUGAAGUGCCACCUUAUCUCCAUACUUAUCAUACUUACAUAUACAAUGCUUUGCUUUGAGACUACUUCUAUUAUCCAUAUCGUAUGAUGCAUGAUUGCCCAACUGAUCAGUGAUAACUGCCCGACCGGCCAUCGCGCGGUGUUAGUAAAUGUAUGACUGCCCAACCGGUAGUAAAUAAUGAUACAUAACUGCCCAACCGGUGGUAACUGCCCGAUCGGCUAGCCCGGUGGUAAAUGCAUGUCUGCCCAACCGGCCGUAGCACGGUGGUAAAUGAAUAUGCAUGAAGAUGCAUGUAUUACUGUAUUAUGAACAUUAACAUCUUUAUCAAAUACCCCGAUAGAGAACUUGAUACGUACUUAAACAUGCUUGAAUAUCACUUUACGGAAAUGAAUAACAUAGACAACCUUAACUGCUAAGAGUCGAAUCACUUAUGGAAUAGCAUUACGAUAGAGGAAACUUGUCGGUUUACCACAAUGAGCUUUACAACCUAGAUUUAUACUCUGAUAGACAACAGUAUCCUCAAAGACAAUUAUCGUCCGAUCUUUACCAAUCAGUACCAAAGAAAAUCACCUUGAGAGAACUUAGAGAUCACUUGUUGUUAAGUGACAUAUAACAAACUCAAGUGCUGUUUCACUUACUUUUUUUGAGCCAACAACAAAGGGACAUGACACCAAGGCUAUAGCAUUUCUGCUUUUGAUUGACAUUCUAUAAAAUCCUCCAUAUCCACUUUCCAGGCAUUGCUAUGGACACGGGAUCAGCCAUAAUACGCCUCACUAGGCUUUUGCCUCUUUUCUUAAUUUUUUUUAAAGUAAAGAUAUCUAAAUACUUCUAUGAAUAGAGUCAUUUAUAGAAAUUAUGCAUUUGCUUAUUUCGUUUGUAUCGUAUAGAUUAUGCCAAAAGAAAAGAAUGGAUAGCCUUAACAUACCUGAACCGGUUCUCUUGACAAUCUCUAACACUCGUUAAUUAGAGCAAAAUACGGAAUAAGUUGAAUGAAAAGCUCGAAGCAAUCACGUUGCUAUGCAAAGAAAAUCUUGAUCGAAACUUUUCGUUUAGCACUUAGUAAUACGUUGUUAUGUGAAGAGAUUUUGGAAAAUGAUUUUUUUGUUGAACUCUUUUCUUAAGAGAAUAGAAAUAACGUUGGAAAGAAUAAGAAAUCUUGGCUAACUCUUUAACGUUACUAACUUUGCCAAUUUAUAUCCAUUUCUCUCAAAAUGGAUGAGAGAUCAGUGAUUAAGCCUUCAAGAUCAAUGACUAGGCUUCAAAAAGUGAUGACUAACCUUAUCAAUUGACUUGUAAGAGUCAUCAAAAAUAGAGUGAAUUGCUGCCACGUUGGAAGCCUUUAGGCUUAUCCAAUUUUCUUAACUAGUAUAAUUAAUUAGUAAUCUCCCACUAAAAUCAAUAAUUAUCAAUCAUUCACAUAAUUAAAAAUUAUCUUAAAUUAUUUAAUAUACUAUUCUUUUUAAAUACACUUUAUAUANNNNNNNNNNNNNNNNNNNNNNNNNNNNNNNNNNNNNNNNNNNNNNNNNNNNNNNNNNNNNNNNNNNNNNNNNNNNNNNNNNNNNNNNNNNNNNNNNNNNNNNNNNNNNNNNNNNNNNNNNNNNNNNNNNNNNNNNNNNNNNNNNNNNNNNNNNNNNNNNNNNNNNNNNNNNNNNNNNNNNNNNNNNNNNNNNNNNNNNNNNNNNNNNNNNNNNNNNNNNNNNNNNNNNNNNNNNNNNNNNNNNNNNNNNNNNNNNNNNNNNNNNNNNNNNNNNNNNNNNNNNNNNNNNNNNNNNNNNNNNNNNNNNNNNNNNNNNNNNNNNNNNNNNNNNNNNNNNNNNNNNNNNNNNNNNNNNNNNNNNNNNNNNNNNNNNNNNNNNNNNNNNNNNNNNNNNNNNNNNNNNNNNNNNNNNNNNNNNNNNNNNNNNNNNNNNNNNNNNNNNNNNNNNNNNNNNNNNNNNNNNNNNNNNNNNNNNNNNNNNNNNNNNNNNNNNNNNNNNNNNNNNNNNNNNNNNNNNNNNNNNNNNNNNNNNNNNNNNNNNNNNNNNNAUAUAUAUAUAUAUAUAUAUAUAUAUAUAACGAUAUCAAUGUUGUUAAACUUACGGGAUGCAACACUAGGGCAAAAUGUCUAGGUGAGCAUGACAAACAGAAUAUGCAGCAUUGUGUUAAAGCGAGGUAAUAGAUACCUAAUCAGUUUGCGUACUGAUUUUAGGACCUGUUGAAUAUGGGCAGUUCACAAAUAAUUAAGCCAAGCACAUUUUACCCAUUGCAGGAUUUUAAUUACCUAUAGGCUCACCUAAGCGUGGAUCUGAGAUGCCCUAUAACAUGAUGUCUAAUUAUUAAUCAGAAUUCUAAUAACAAAUUUAAAACCAACAAUUUGAGUUCAUUAUGUCCUAUAGGCAUGCUGUCUAGGCGUAAACAUUAUAAAAUAGUUUUUUUAUACACAUUAUCUCUAUAUGCAUGAUACCUAAGUGUGGAGGCUACCUUUUAAACUUACUCUUAUAGAUGUUGCUACUGAAGAAACUGAUUCUGUACGAUCUAGAUGUAGUUAUAGUAUUUAGGCGAUGGUUAAAAAAGGUCCUAAAGCAUGGUUUCUAAUGCACAUAAGAGAAUAAACAUGAUUCUUAGGCAGAAUUAAUAGCAACCUAGUGACAGGAUUCCUAAACAGGCGUGACAUAUGCAGAACUUUAGAAAGCAGAAGUUUUAGAACAAAUGAUAUGACGCACCUAUAAACGUGUACAAAAAUAAUCCAAGAAGCAGGGUUUCUAAUGCAAGUAGAUGAUCAUAAUGGUCCUAAGAGCAUGAUUUCUUCCUGAUUCCCCACAAAAUAUAUAUAUAAAAAGUCCCUCCCAUUUUACUAAUAUCCCCAAUAUAUAUUUACAAGGAUUAUUAUAGACAAUAAAACAAAUUAAUUACAAAAUAAACCAAGCUAUGAUAUAGGGAGCCUGAAUAGGCCCAACAUGAACAUGUAAAAACCAGGACUUCAAACAAUCUAAAGUGCCAUAGUCCCAUAGUGCCCAAUAGUAUUUCGGUGUGUCAAAGUUCCCAAGGGCCUCAGGAAGCCCAGGCAAUGCUCACACUAGAAAACUUUCGAAGUAACCCUUUGUGAGUAAGUUUGGAAAGCCAACUCCAGUGUGUCAAAGUUCAGAGGAGCCUCAUGGACUCCUAAGCAAUGCUCACACCAGAGGGGCAAGGCCCUAUGUGUUCUAAGAAUAGGAAUUUAAAACAUGAGAUAGUUUUUAAGAAAAUAGUUUUGGAUUCUCAGGAAUAAGGAGCGAACAGGGUCAUUCAAUCAUUGUAACUCAAACAAAGGUCCUAGCAGUCAAAUAGUAUACAGAAACAGGGUAACUUAGAGUUUCAACUUAGUUUAUUAACUUUCAUUAGGAGGGCAUACAGUCACAUACAGAGGGAUAGUAGGGCUGGGGAGCCAUAUUGUGAGAAGUGAACAUUUUAAGAGCAUGCUAGUGGAGAAGUAGACAUAGGUUCAGUUUAGACAUGAGCAAGUAUACAGACUUGCUGAAAGCAGAAGCACAUAGGUUUGGCUAAACAGGAGUAAACAGGUUAAAAACAAGACACAUAGGUUCAAUCAAACAGAAGUAUACAUGCUAUUGCAGUAACAUAUAGGUUGAACAGAAGUAGACAUGCUUAUUGUAGUGAACACAUAGGUUUGCUUAAGUAAAAGAAAGACACGCUGAUCAUAAGGAAACACACAAGUCAAAUUGAAUAGCAGUAAGCAUAGAGUCUAGUGAACAUGCUAAUAAUCACGAGGCAUAUGAUCUAAUAAGACAAGUAGACAUGCUGAUAACAGGGCACAUGGUUGAAUUAACUAGCAGUAGACAUGCUGAAUAGGGAAAACAUACAUGUUCAGAAGAAAGACAUGUUGAUUGUAAGAAAAACACAUAGGUUUAAUUGAAUGGCAAUAGUGAGAGCAUACCAGUUAAGGAAGCAGAAACAGAAGGUAAAGUAGGCAGGAUUAGACAGCCUAGCCUUGGCUUUCAGCCGGCUAGACAAGCAAUGAACACAAGUAGCAGAGAGAGAGAUGAGAGAAAGCUUUUGUGUGUGUGUGUGUGUGUGUGUUUGAACUAUUGUUGGUUGUUUAAAGAAGUCAGAAUGAGAGUUUAUAUAGCACUUAGUAUAGUAGGACAAAUAAGGUAAAGAAUAAAUCAGAGUUCAUAAAACAGGAUAAUAAAAUAAAUCAGUCAGUUAAUUGGGGACUUAACUCAAUCAAUUCCCACAUAAGAAUCCGGGAAAGACCCCCUUAGAUUGGGGAGAAUCCCUUAUCGAUUCAGAUUGGGAUUCAAAUAAGGUAAACAAAUCAAUCAUGUACCAUAUAGAAGUCAAUUAAAUCCCUAAAUUAGACUAAUAGUCUAAUUAAGUCAAGUAAUACUAAAUAAAGUCACAACUAAGAAAAAUAGGUAAAUCACAGAGAAGUACUGAUUUUAAAGGGAAGAAUUGGUUCAAAUUCCUAAUAGAAAUCAAUUAAGUAAAAAACAAUCCCAAAGAAUAAUGGUUUUAAUAGAAAAAAUGUUCAAGACGAAAAAUAGAAUCAGUCAACACAACUAGUUCACAGAAAUAAGCACAAUAACGGAAAAAAUUGAAGAAAUCAAUGUCACAAAUAGGAACAUUUAGGGUUUAAACAUAUACACGAAAAUUAAUCAAACAUGUAAUGAAACCAUUUUAACACUGAAAUGUUUAGAAAAACUCUUUGAAAAAAGGACAGGUAUGAACCCUAAUUUCAGAAAGAGUAAACGAAGUCGAAACAAUUAAUUAAACCAAGAGAUUCUUAAAGGAAAACAACCAAUGAUACUUGAAUAACUUCAGAUCUACAAUGAUCUGAGAAGAUUUGAAAAGUAGUGAAACUAGGGUUUUUAGAAAAUAGUAGAGAUGAAGAGAAUCGAUCGAAAACCCAUGGAUUCGUACUAGAAGCUAGAGGAAAUUCAUACUCAUAAACAAAAGUGGCCUGAGACAGGCCGAUAAACAACUUUCAAACCAGAAUUGGUUGGAUUUCUAUGAGAUCUUCUCAAGGACUCAUGAAAUCAAGCAGUUAGAGAGUAUAGGAGACCGGUGGUGGUCGGAGAAUGCACAGAAACACCAUGGAAGGGAGGUCCCCGCCGGUGAUGGCGAUUAGGGUUAGUGGUGAGUUGAGAGAGAGAGUUGGAGAGAUUAGGGAACAAAGGGCGGCAGAGUGUAACAAAUGAGCUAGGUUAGGGAGGUCGUUUGAGUUAAAAAUUGUAAGAAUGAAUAGGUGUCGUUGAUCUGUCGUUUGAGUUAAAAAUUGUAAGAAUGAAUAGGUGUCGUUGAUCUCAGAGAUCAACGACCAUAAUGAGAAAGGGCAUGGAUCUGGUAGGUUUUUAAUUGGGUUGGGGUCGUUUAAACUGGGCUUGGGUUAAUUAAAUUGGAUUGGGAGGGUCCGAUUUUGGGUGUAAAUUAGGGGCUAUUUAUUAAAUACUCAUUUUACUAAAUAAAAUAAUUUUAAAAAUAGCUAAUUUAAUGAUAAAAAAUAAUUUUUCAAGUAUGAAUAUGAUUUAAAAUAGUUAUUCAAUAUUAUAAAAAUAUAAAAAGGUUUUUUCUGUAUAGAUAAUGUAGUUAUGCAUAUGUAGAGACUAUUUUUGCAAAAUAUGUUAUUAUAGUCUUAAAAAUGUAAAAUGUAAUUAUAAAAAUACAAUUAAAAUAUUUGAACACUCAUAUGAACAUAAAUGAUGAAUUUAGAUGAUUAAACUAUCAUAAAAAAUAUGAGGGAUAGUUUUGAACAUUUAUGUAACUAGAAAAUGCAGAAAUAGAUGGAAUUAGGGCCUUGAAAAAAUUGUAGAAAAAUUAUAAAAUACUUUUGCAUGUUUGUAAAUGCAUGUACAAUAUCUUGAAAGUGUGUGAAUAUUUAAAAUAUAUGAGGAAAAAUUGGGUAUCAACAUCUGUGUCCCUGCCCCCCAGCUCCAGUCCACAUACAGAUUUUAACCGCUAUUGCGGUCACGCACCUGCGCCCCCACGUUCGCACCUGCAGAUUUAGUCCAUCUAUACAAAACUAGCACCUACAGCUAGCCAGCCGCUUUUGCAGUGCCGCACCUGCGGCCAACUCUUCGUAGGUGCGAAAGCACUAGAUCCCAGCCGUCUUUAGAAAUUCUCCCAAGUUCAAACAUGUUCCGCACAUCGUCCGAAUAGCACCUGAGGCCCCCGGGGCCUCAUCCAAACAUACCAACAAGUUCUUAAACAUAAAACGGACCUGCUCGAACCCUCGAAAUGCGUAAAACAACAUCAAAGCUAAGAAUCGAACCCGAAAACUAAAUUGAAUCAAAAUAUGAUCCUCAAGAUUUUCCAACUUACUCUGAAUGCGUCGAAUCAUACUUAGACUACCUAGAAUGACACUAAACUUUGCAUACAAGUCAUAAAUCACCGUAAGGAACAAUUCUAGGCUCGGAAUCCCAAACGGACCUUUAUAACACCAUUGUCUACUACAAACCAAAUUUAAAGAACUAAAAAGCCUUCAAUGUGCCAACUUUCAACAUUAAGCGCUGAAACACUCGCGUGUCAUCCGAAACCCGAUCCGAAUAUACGUUCAAGUCCAAAACCAUCAUCAAACCUAUUGGAACCAUCAAAUCCCGGUCCCGAUGUCGUUCACUAAAAAUAUUGACUCAAGUCAAACAUUGCCAUCUUAUGCCAAUAUUAAGGAACCAAGUGUUCCGAUUUUAACUCGAACCCUUCCAAACCCAAGUCAACCAUCCCCGCAAGUCAUAAAACAGUAAUAACACAUACGGAGAGUCUUAAUUAGGGGAAUAGGGAUCUCGAAAGCAAAACAAUCGGUCAGGUCUUUACAUUCUCCAUCUCUUAAACAAACAUUUGUCCUCGAACUAGUCUAGAAUCAUAGAGUGCUGGAUAGGUAUGAAUAUCUACUUUGCAUGUCCUCCUCGGUCUCCAAGUCACCUCCUCGACUAGUUGACCCCACCACUGGACCUUUUCCGCAGAAGUUUUCUUAGAAAUCAACUGGCGAACCUGCCUGUCAAAAAUAGCCAUUGGCUCCUCCUCGUAGCGCAAGCUUUAAUCGGGCUCAAACCAUUCGAUGGGCGAACAACAUCGCUGACCAUACAAAGCCUAAAAUGCAGCCAUCUAAAUGCUGGACUAAUAACUGUUGUUAUAAGCAAAAUCGGGCAAAGGCAAGAAUCGAUCCCACUACCCGCCGAAGCUAAUCAUACAUGAUCUGAGCAUAUCCUCCAGGAUCUGAACUGUCCACUCCGUCUGCCCAUCGGUCUGCAAAUGAAAGGUUAUGUUGAGCUCUACUUGGGUACCCAACUAACUCUAUACUGCUCUCUAGAAGUGCGAAGUGAACUAAGGGACUCUAUGAAAUGAUGGAAACAUGCACACUAUGCAACUGGACAAUCUCCUAAAUGUAAUUUUAGGCCAACCUCUCUAACGAGUACGUAGUCAUCACUGGAAAAAAGUGUGCCGACUUGGUCAGCCUGUCGAUGAUGAUCCAAACGGCAUUACACUUCCUUAAUGUCCAGGGUGACCCAACUACCAAGUCCAUAAUGUUGCGCUACCAUUUUUACUCAGGUAUAACCAUUUGCUAAAGUACGACACCUAGCCUCUGGUGCUCAUACUUAAACUAUUAGCAAUUUAGGCAUCUCACUACAUACUCAACUAUGUCCUUCUUCAUUUGCCGCCACCAAUAAUGCUGCCUCAGAUCACGAUACAACUUCGUAGCACCUACAAGAAUAGAAUACCGAGAACUACGUGCCUCCUCUAGAAUCUUCUCCCUCAAUCCAUCAACAUUAGAAGACUUAGGAGUUGCAGAACACCAUCCUUACCGAUAGUAACCUCCCUGGCACUACCCUGUAGUACUGUUUCCCUGAGAACCAGCAAGUGCAGAUUGUCAUACUGACGUGCCUUAAUAUGCUCAAAUAAUGAUGUCUGAGCGACGACGCAUGCAAGAACUCGACUGGGAUCUAAAAUAUCCAACCUCACAAGUGUGUUAGCCAAGGACUGAAUGUCCAAAGCCAAUGGCUUCUCCUCUGCUGAAAUGAAUACUAAACUACCGAUACUCUCGACCCUUUUGCUCAAGGCAUCCGUAACCACAUUUGUCUUGCCUAAAUGAUAAAGGAUGGUAAUAUCAUAGUCCUUUAGUAACUCAAGCCACAUGUGCUACCUUAUAUUGAUAUUACUAAACUUUAACAAAGGCUAAAAGUUGCUAUAAUCGGUGUAAACCUCAUAGGACACCCCAUAAAGAGAAUGCUUGCAGAUCUUGAGAGCAUGAGCUAUCACGACUAACUCCAAAUCAUAUACGGGGUAAUUAUUCUCGUGGGUCUUCAGCUGACGUGAAGCAUAUGCAAUAACUCGCCCCUCCUACAUCAAUAUAUAACGAAGGCCAACAUGUGAAGCGUCGUAAUACAUAGUAUACAUCCAUGAACCAAAAGGCAACACUAACACUGGUAUUGUAGUCAAUGCGACCUUGAGUUUCUGAAAGCUCACCUCUCAAUCAUCGUACCAUCAGAACGAAGCACCCUUUUGGGUCAAUCUAGUCAAAGGAGUUGCAAUAGACGAGAAGUCAUCCACAAACUAGCAAUGAUAACCUGCUAACCCCAAGAAACUCUUGAUCUCGGUUGCUAAGGUAGGACGAGGCCAACUCUGGACUGCCUCAUCUUUCUGGGAUCUACCUUAAUACACUCGCCUGUUACAACAUGCCCCAAGAAUGCCACAGAAUCUAAACAGAACUCGCACUUAGAAAAAUUCGUAUAUAGCUUCUGUUCCCGCAAGGUUUGAAGCACAACCCUCAAAAGCUGCUCGUGCUCCUCCAUGCUACGCGAGUAGAUCAAUAUGUCAUCAAUGAAGACAAUGACAAAUGAGUCAAUAUAUGUCAUAGACACCCGGUUCAUCAAAUCCAUAAAUGCCACCGGGGCGUUGGUCCAGCCGAAGGACAUCAGUAGAAACUCAUAGUGGCCAUAUCUAGUCUGAAAAGCCGUCUUCGGAACAUCUGAGGCACAAAUCUUCAGUUGAUGAUACCUCGACAAGUCAAUCUUAAAGAAUACCCUGGCACCCUACAACAAGUCAAACAAAUCAACAACAUGCGACAAUGGGUACUUGUUCUUAAUGAUAACAUUGUUCAAUUGGCGGUAAUAAAUGCACAUCCGCAUAGUCCCAUCCUUUUUUCACGAACAACACUGGGGCACCCUAAGGUGACACAUUCAGUAUGACAAACUCCUUUUCUAGCAACUCAUUAAGUUGUUCUUUUAACUCUUUCAACUCUUUUGGAGACAUGUGGUAUGGUGGAAUAGAGAUAGGCUGGGUACCUGGAGAUAAAUAAAUAUAGAAAUCGAUGUCACGAUCUGAUGGCACGCCUGGUAGAUCAGAAGAAAACACAUCGGAGAACUCCCGCACCACGUGUACUAAAUCAAUCAUUGGAGUCUCUGUAGUAGUAUUCCAAAAAUUAUCCAAAUAAGCCAAACAACCCUUCUCGGCCAUAUGUCGAGCCUUCAAGAAAGAGAUAACCUAGCUAGAUAAACUGAUAGAUAAACCCUUCAGAUCCAAUCUAGGAAACGCUAGCAUCACCAACGUAACACUUUUGGCGUGGCAAUCAAGGACGACAUUGUACAGAGAUAAUCAGCCCAUGCCUAGGAUAACCUCAAAGUCAGUCAUGUCAAACAAUAGAAGAUUUGCUCUAGUCUCAUAACCACAGAAAGUCAUGAUACAGGACUGGUAAAUCCAAUCCACAAUAAUAGAAUCUCCCACUAGCUUGGACACAUAUACAGGAGUACCCAAGGACUCACAAGGAACACCUAGAAAAUAAGCAAACAAAGAUGAAACAUAUAAAUACGUAGACCCUGGAUCAAAUAGUACCGAAACAUCCUUUCCAUUGACAUAAAUAAUACUUGUGAUCAUAACAUCUGAGAAUACUACAUUUGGUCUGGCUGGAAGGGCAUCGAACCUAGCUGGUGCACCACCUGACUAGCCUCCACCAUCUACGGGCCCUACCCUCAAGCUGGAAGGUGGUAAAGUCUAUCCCAUGGGACUCCAAUACUCUCAUGUUGUGCAGUCUGUUCCUGCAAUAAUCAAUAAAGUCACGAGGGUCCUUAUUUCUUUCACCGCCAAAGGUAGGACGAUGUAGCCUGAUCUAUCUAUGCAAUAGCUUCUACGGCUCGCCAAUCGUGGCUGGUCUAGCUCUGGUAUACCACUACAACUGGUUGAGCCUCGCCCACGGGUAGUGCACUUGAGGUCUGAUAUACGACAACAACAUUCCCUAGAGCCUAAGUGAUAGAGGUAUAUGCUCCCCCUUCCGCUUGAGAUGUGGCUGGGUCUGCUAGAAAAAAAUAACAUGCCUCAUAGAGUCAAUGAACCGCAGCAUAUGGCCCAUGACCUCCUGGAAUCCUAGAGCGGACAUGAAUCCGAUGGGUCCAACUCAGCUAAAGGUACCUAGCCCUACUCCUCAAUAAUAGGAUCCUCUACUAGAUUUACUAGUGGCACAACUAGAUCAACUCUAAGAAGCCCUCGUCCUCUAGCAGGAGCUGGAGACCUCCCUCAGCCUCUAACAAUAUGGGGUUUAGAUCCUCCACGGUUGGGUACAUCUGUCGCACGCAUGCUCACUAUCUGUGAGAGAAUAAGAGAAAGAUACUUAGCACAACAUCAAAUGCACGAUAAGAGAUAAAGAAAGAGAAGUUUCCUAACACCUUAUGGCUUCUCAAAGAUAAGUGCAUAUGUCUCUGCACUGAUCCUCAAGAUUCUAUCAGGCCUGCUCAUGACUUGUGAGACCUAUGUGAACCUAGAGCUCUGAGACUAAGCUGUCAUGACCCAAUUUUUAGUAUAGGCUGUGACAGUGCAUAACAUCAUCGCUAGGCAAGCAAACGAUGAACUAGCCAUGUAAUUGUUCUUUUUAUUAAGAGUAUGAUUAAUAGAAAAUUAUAGAAAAGUAAAGUAUAAAAUAAUAGAAGAGUAGUAUAGUGAAGUUACAAUUCAAAACCAUAAAAUGUCUACUAGACUAAUCCCAAUACCUGAUGUCACAAGUGUAUGGACAACUAGUAGAAUAUAAAAAACCUCCUUUAUUACUGCCUGGAGUAAGAUUGACAGAAAAUAAAUACAAAAGAGAGACUAUUGGAGGUGCAGGAUGGGCAUAAAGAGUAGCUCACCACUAAGCCUCGAGGUAACGGGGGUAUGCGCCUGGAUGACUGCCAGAUGCACCUGCCUCAGAUCAUGCAUGAUUAGUGCAUAAGUGUAGUAUGCGUACAUAAAAAAUAUGUACCUAGUAAGUAUCUAGUCUAACCUCGAAGAAGUAGUGACAAGUGGUCGACUAACACUUACUAUGGGCCAAUAAAUAAAGUACAAAAAUAUUAAAUAGGCAUGGAAUACAUCAAUAAUAAUAACGCAAAAAUGAACAGUAAAUAAGUGAUUCUUUAACUAUAUUUAAGUUAAGAUCCCAAACUAAAACCUACUAACUUCAACAAAUAAAAGCCAUUAAGUAAUUAUUAUCUCUCAAUUCAUGGAAGAAAUAUCAAGUAUAAUAGGACUCCGAGCAAUAUCACACAUGAUUUAUGCCGAGGUCGUACGGCCUGAUCCAGAAUAAUGUGUACAUUGUUGAGGGUUGACUUGAGUGAACUAUAGAUGCAUCUAUUAUACUAACGAGGAGUUUGCCCUAUCCACAAGAAGAAACAAUACUCUACGAACUCCGAUUUAAUGGCUACUACAAGACUGAUACACAAGAAGGCACAAUUCCUACUAACGGUCAAGUAACCCACCAAAACUCAAAGUAAAUGAAGUUUGGUCCUAACGAAUCCCUUAUCGAGUAUAUAUAUAAUUUAAGCACUUAAACUAAUAAGUAGAGUACAAAUAAUAUUGGUAUUACAUGAUAAAGUCCUAAAACUACCCAGACAUAAGCAUGAUUUUUAGCUACGCACAGACUCUCAUCACUUUGUGUACGUAGUUGUCACAACUCAAACCGAUGGGCCGCGAUGGGCACCCCGUACCUUAUUCAACCAAGUACCAACAUAUCAAAUCUUUCAUAUCAUUCUAUCAUAGGUAAGUGAACCGGAGUAAAGCAUGAGGGAAUAAAAACUUAUACAUAUGAAGUAUGAUCCUAUAUGACCCAAAUAACCACUCGUGUACUGAACUUAGGCCGACAUGGCCAUACAAUCUUUUACGUACAUGCCAUCUGUCUACAAGCCUCUAGAAUACAUAAUUUUCAUAAAGGUCGGGACAGAGUCCCACCAUACCAAAAAAUACAUGUCUAAAUCAUACUAACCAAACAAGCAACUUCGAAGCUAAUGGAGUGCACCAACAUCUUUCGCGGAGCUGAUAGCCUACUUGGAGGGCUCUUGACCUAUCUAUCGGGACCUGCGGGCAUGAAAUGCACCGUCGCCAGGAAAAAGGGACGUUAUUACGAAUAAUGUACCGAGUAUGUAAGGCACAUUAAUAAGUACAUAACAUACAUGGAAGAAAUAUAGAGUAAAUGACUCAACCUGUAAGUCUGGAUAACUAUGUAAAUCAUGAAACACUUAUAAUGUCAUGCAUAUGCAAAUGAAUGUCAUGUCAUGCUUAGGUACAUGUGUUCAUAACAUCAUCAAGCCUCUGAGAGCAUCCCAUCAUAUCAUCUCGGCCACUGUGGGCAAAUCAUCAACAUAUACNNNNNNNNNNNNNNNNNNNNNNNNNCCCAUAUAUAUAUAUAUAUAUAUAUAUAUAUACAUAUAUACAUAUAUAUAUAUAUAUAUGUAUAUAUGUAUAUACAUAUAUAUAUAUAUACACGUAUAUAUAACGCCAUCUGGUCAUGCGUCAUUGUGCAUGUAUAAAUGCAUGAAAUGCAAAUGAAAUACGUUAAAAAAUCUCUUGGUACAUCAUAAGACCAUCAUGCCUUGAUUAAUAUUAUGAACUAAACUUUUUCAAUUCACAUAUUUUUCUGAGACCAAUGAAUAGAAGAUAUGAUAAUAGUUCACAUGGGGAAUUAAGAAUAUAGACACCCCUAAUAUUUCUAUGAAUAAAGUCAUUUAUGAAAGUUGCAUAUUUUUCUCAUUUCAUUUGUAUUAUUUGGAUCAUGCCAAAAGGAAAAAAGGGAUAACCUUAACAUACCU